AACGAACGCUGGCGGCAUGCCUAACACAUGCAAGUCGAACGAGACCUUCGGGUCUAGUGGCGCACGGGUGCGUAACGCGUGGGAACCUGCCCUUAGGUUCGGAAUAACUCCCCGAAAGGGGUGCUAAUACCGGAUAAUGUCUUCGGACCAAAGAUUUAUCGCCUUUGGAUGGGCCCGCGUUGGAUUAGCUAGUUGGUAGGGUAAAAGCCUACCAAGGCGACGAUCCAUAGCUGGUCUGAGAGGAUGAUCAGCCACACUGGGACUGAGACACGGCCCAGACUCCUACGGGGGGCAGCAGGGGGGAAUAUUGGAAAAUGGGCGAAAGCCUGAUCCAGCAAUGCCGGGUGAGUGAUGAAGGCCUUAGGGUUGUAAAGCUCUUUUACCCGGGAUGAUAAUGACAGUACCGGGAAAAAAAGCCCCGGCUAACUCCGU
rnacentral:rRNA from 1 species